rnacentral:rRNA from 1 species
GACGAACGCUGGCGGCGUGCUUAACACAUGCCAGUCGAACGGAAAGGCCCUGCUUUUGUGGGGUGCUCGAGUGGCGAACGGGUGAGUAACACGUGAGUAACCUGCCCUUGACUUUGGGAUAACUUCAGGAAACUGGGGCUAAUACCGGAUAGGAGCUCCUGCUGCAUGGUGGGGGUUGGAAAGUUUCGGCGGUUGGGGUUGGACUCGCGGCUUAUCAGCUUGUUGGGUGGGUAGUGGCUUACCAAGGCUUUGACGGGUGGCCGGCCUGAGAGGGUGACCGGCCACAUUGGGACUGAGCUACGGCACAGACUCCUCCGGGAGGCAACGGUGGGGAAUAGUGCACAAUGGGCGGGAGCCUGAUGCAGUAACGCCGCGUGCGGGAUGACGUCCUUCGGUUUGUAAACCGCUUUCGCCUGUGACGAAACGUGAGUGACGGUAAUGGGUAAAGAAGCACCGGCUAACUACGUG